AUUGAACGCCGGCGGCAUGCCUUACACAUGCAAGUCGAACGGUAACAGGUCUUCGGAUGCUGACGAGUGGCGAACGGGUGAGUAAUACAUCGGAACGUGCCUAGUAGUGGGGGAUAACUACUCGAAAGAGUGGCUAAUACCGCAUGAGAUCUACGGAUGAAAGCAGGGGAUCGCAAGACCUUGUGCUACUAGAGCGGCCGAUGGCAGAUUAGGUAGUUGGUGGGAUAAAAGCUUACCAAGCCGACGAUCUGUAGCUGGUCUGAGAGGACGAUCAGCCACACUGGGACUGAGAAACGGCCCAGACUCCUACGGGAGGCAGCAGUGGGGAAUUUUGGACAAUGGGCGCAAGCCUGAUCCAGCAAUGCCGCGUGCAGGAUGAAGGCCUUCGGGUUGUAAACUGCCUUUGUACGGAACGAAAAGCCCCGGGUUAAUACCCUGGGGUCAUGACGGUACCGUAAGAAUAAGCACCGGCUAACUACGUGCCAGCCGCCGCCGUAA
rnacentral:rRNA from 1 species